ensembl:snoRNA
AAAUUUUUAUUUGACUUGGUACUUUCAGAGGCUAGCACAGAAGAAUAAAGUAAAUCUUUAUAAAACUCAGAAAUGUGCUUACAAAACUCCUCUUUGGAGCCCAUCUUGAUUCACAGUU